CUGCGUCCCUCAGAGGGGGGAGACGAUUCGCCCGUGAGAGAAACAAGGUAGCCAGAGGAGAAGGACAAGUGUAAAUCUGAGGAGACUUUCAGAGGCAGGAGACAGGGGGACAAAUAUUGUGUCAUGUGUCCGUAAAUACCAGCAAUAAAACCAGACAAAUCCUUUGGACCUUGGAGAGCUUUCAUGCAAACAGGCUCCGGCUGGGUAGGGCAGCGCUGUUUAUCAUGAACUUGUGGAUCGUUGCAGUGUGGCAAACUGUUUGGAUGGGAUAUUAAAAGCCAUAUUUCACUUUCUUCCCCUGGUUUUGGCCACUAUCCAGCAGGUGAGGGAGUUCAAGCCUCCCGGUUCACUCAUUGAUCAACACAAAUAAGGCAACGGCACUGCUUUUAAAGGCUCUGAUACAGGAAACAAAAUUCCUUUCCUGAAAUGAGAGUUAAAACCUCACAUUUCAUCAUCAUACUUCAAGUUUGCAAGCUGUCAGUUUGAUUGUGAUUUCAGAGGUGGGCUAUGCAGUGGCAUAAAGCUACAAAUCAGCCUGUAAACGCGAUUUAUGGUCCAGUAAACUAUCAAAAUAAAAGUGGAACUAACUCAGAGAUACAGACUAAGACAAACGAAAAGUUAAACACGGAGACAAGACUGACCUCACAAAAACGACUGAGAAACAACGAAGAGAACUAAUGAACUAAUGAACUAGAAAAACAAAAAUAACAGAACUAGACUAAAAAACAAAAACCCCGAAAAAAAUUACAGAACUCAAAAACCCCACAACCCGGGAACUCUGAUGGUUUACGUUUCCUAAAAAUAUGAAAAAAGAUUUCAUUUCUAUCUUGAAUAUUUAAUUUGUUCGCAGAUGUCAAACUGUAUCUGUUCUUUGAAUUCUUGUGUUUUAAUAAUGAUGCAAAUAGAUUAAUACUCACUUUUAAUUAUUACAUAAACUUAGGGUAAAAAACUAGGUUUACAAGAAAUCAUCACAGUUUUAUUAAAAGUGGCCAAAAAUGGAAAGUUGUCAUCAGAGUGGGCGGAGCAAUCCAAAUAUCGGUAGUAUUAUUGCUAAUGCUGACUGAUACUAGCGCAAUAGGAUCGCUAUAUGUUUUAUCUUCUAAGUUUACUAUGCAGAUCGGUGAUUCUGAUACCUCAGCUGCUUGUGUUAGCUGUCAGGUCUCUUUCAC
ensembl:lncRNA